CAUAAAGACAUUUUGGAGUUGUUGCUUUUGUUUGAAGCAGUGUAGCUCUAUGAUUGAACUUGGUUCUGUUCUUCAACUGCAGCAAUCAAGUGACUGUCAGAGAAACAACAGACUUCAAGAUAAAAGAUGAGGAACCAGAAAAAAACAGUGUACCACUUCAGGAUUACAAAAUAAUCAACUUUGAAAGUAAAGGAAGUUUAAAAAAUGCUGAAGUGACUUCAAGUACAGAAAUUACUCUUCCCACAGGUGUUUCCACCUUUCUCAUAGAGUGUUUAGAUGAAGAUUCAGCUGCAAAUUAUAGCGCUGCUAGUGACAGCCUGAAAACUUACUCAUCUCCUGAAACAUUCAGAGAUGAUGAUUUGGAUCCAGAAAGAUGCAAUUUUUACUCUGUGGACCUUGGCAAGUACAAGAACUCUACUCUCCUGGACUCCAGCAAAGCAGUGACCAUUGAUAAGAUACCACAGAUCUCAAAUCUUUCAGCAAUAUUAGAACCUGUACCAGAGGAUUUUCCAGAGCGAUGCACUAGAAGAAAGAGACCAUCAAGUUACUAUAAAAGCUCUUCAGCAUUAAACGUUUCAGCUACGCUGGCAGCAUGA
rnacentral:lncRNA from 1 species